rnacentral:rRNA from 1 species
UGUAGCAAGGUUAACCGUAUAGGGGAGCCGGAGGGAAACCGAGUCUUAACCGGGCGUUAAGUUGCAGGGUAUAGACCCGAAACCCGGUGAUCUAGCCAUGGGCAGGUUGAAGGUUGGGUAACACUAACUGGAGGACCGAACCGACUAAUGUUGAAAAAUUAGCGGAUGACCUGUGGCUGGGGGUGAAAGGCCAAUCAAACCGGGAGAUAGCUGGUUCUCCCCGAAAGCUAUUUAGGUAGCGCCUCGUGAAUUCAUCUCCGGGGGUAGAGCACUGUUUCGGCUAGGGGGCCAUCCCGGCUUACCAACCCGAUGCAAACUGCGAAUACCGGAGAAUGUUAUCACGGGAGACACACGGCGGGUGCUAACGUCCGUCGUGAAGAGGGAAACAACCCAGACCGCCAGCUAAGGUCCCAAAGUCAUGGUUAAGUGGGAAACGAUGUGGGAAGGCCCAGACAGCCAGGAUGUUGGCUUAGAAGCAGCCAUCAUUUAAAGAAAGCGUAAUAGCUCACUGGUCGAGUCGGCCUGCGCGGAAGAUGUAACGGGGCUAAACCAUG